GCAUAUCAAUAAGCGGAGGAAAAGAAACCAACAGGGAUUGCCCUAGUAACGGCGAAGUGAAGCGGCAACAGCUCAAAUUUGAAAUCUGGCUCUCGGGCCCGAGUUGUAAUUUGUAGAGGAUGCUUUUGAUGCGGUGCCUUCCGAGUUCCCUGGAACGGGACGCCAUAGAGGGUGAGAGCCCCGUCUGGUUGGAUGCCAAAUCUCUGUAAAGCUCCUUCGACGAGUCGAGUAGUUUGGGAAUGCUGCUCUAAAUGGGAGGUAUAUGUCUUCUAAAGCUAAAUACCGGCCAGAGACCGAUAGCGCACAAGUAGAGUGAUCGAAAGAUGAAAAGCACUUUGAAAAGAGAGUUAAAAAGUACGUGAAAUUGUUGAAAGGGAAGCGUUUAUGACCAGACUUGGGCUUGGUUAAUCAUCUGGGGUUCUCCCCAGUGCACUUUUCCAGUCCAGGCCAGCAUCAGUUUUCGCCGGGGGAUAAAGGCUUCGGGAAUGUGGCUCUCUCCGGGGAGUGUUAUAGCCCGUUGCGUAAUACCCUGGCGGGGACUGAGGUUCGCGCAUCUGCAAGGAUGCUGGCGUAAUGGUCAUCAACGACCCGUCUUGAAACACGGACCAAGGAGUCGUCUUCGUAUGCGAGUGUUCGGGUGUCAAACCCCUACGCGUAAUGAAAGUGAACGCAGGUGAGAGCUUCGGCGCAUCAUCGACCGAUCCUGAUGUUCUCGGAUGGAUUUGAGUAAGAGCAUACGGGGCCGGACCCGAAAGAAGGUGAACUAUGCCUGUGUAGGGUGAAGCCAGAGGAAACUCUGGUGGAGGCUCGCAGCGGUUCUGACGUGCAAAUCGAUCGUCAAACAUGGGCAUGGGGGCGAAAGACUAAUCGAACCUUCUAGUAGCUGGUUUCCGUG
rnacentral:rRNA from 1 species